rnacentral:rRNA from 1 species
UACGAAGGGGGCUAGCGUUGUUCGGAAUUACUGGGCGUAAAGCGCGCGCAGGCGGCUUGGCAAGUCAGUGGUGAAAUCCCAGAGCUUAACUCCGGAAUUGCCUCUGAGACUGCUUGGCUUCGAGUACGGGAGAGGUGAGUGGAAUUCCCAGUGUAGAGGUGAAAUUCGUAGAUAUUGGGAAGAACACCGGUGGCGAAGGCGGCCAUCUGGCCCGUAAUUGACGCUGAGGCGCGAAAGCGUGGGGAGCAAACAGG